rnacentral:ncRNA from 1 species
GUGUUGUAUGAAAGGAGAGAUCAGCACUCCCCUUGAUAAGGAUGGAAGAGGCCCUUGUGGUCUGUACAAAACACAUACAGUUAAGGCACUGCCACCUACUUUGUGGCAUCGAACCAUGUUUAA